rnacentral:misc_RNA from 1 species
AAGUCGUAACAAGGUUUCCGUAGGUGAACCUGCGGAAGGAUCAUUAAAAUACCGAUACAACACUGCUUUUGGCACUAAACACACGAACCUAUUUUUUUUCUUCUUCUAGUUUCACUUUUGUGAAUUUUUUUUAAAAAAGAAAACAAAACUUUCAACAACGGAUCUCUUGGUUCUC